ensembl:lncRNA
CUUUUGUUAACUAAGAACACACUGUCGAUGAUGACUAGGUGCUGUUGUCUUCGUACCAGAAUAAAGAGGGAACCCAGAGUAGGAGCAAGUCCGUUGUCACAGUGCCGUCCUUUCUAUAUGGGCGUUUAACAUCACAUUCACCAUAGACCAGGGGUAGGCAAUCCAAGGCCUCGAGGGCCGGUGUCCUGCAGGUUUUAGAUGUGUCCUUGAUCCAACACAGCUUAUUUAAAUGGCUAAUUGACCUCCUCAACAUGUCUUGAAGUUCUCCAGAGGCCUGGUAAUGAACUAAUCAUGUGAUUCAGGUGUGUAGACCCAGGGUGAGAUCUAAAACCUGCAGGACACCGGCCCUCGAGGCCUGGAGUUCCCACCCCUGCCAUAGACUCUCAGACCUGCAACAACUGCAUGAGCACAGCUUUUUUUUUUUUUUUUUUUUUUUUUAAGCGUCCGUCACAUCAUUUAACUCAGGUUGAGGUCUGCUCUUUGAAUGGACUGUUGAUUCUUUUCUAUCUGUUGCGCGACCCAGUUUGGGCCACGCUUAGCUUUCACACAUUUGACUCUAGAACAUGUUGGUAUACAGACGGGUUUGCGGUCAACUCAGUGACUGCAAAAAACCCCAAGUUGACUGUGAGGCCUCGGUGCUGACCUCUGUGCAUUAUUGCCACCUGCAGUCAGUUGAUUUACUGCCAAAUCAAAAAGACCACAAGCUUAUCUCAGCCGACCACCUGACUAGUAUUUCCUAUGUUCUCAGGUCUCUUACUCUGUUAUAUGGUGAGCGGUGCUGCAUUUUAAUGUAUGCAAGCGUGUAGAUUAGUGUGUGAGCAGCUCCUGUGUGCAUGUACAGUGCAUUCAGUGUGUAAAUGAGGGUGUACUGAGUCACACUCAUACGCUGAAGGAUGUUUUCCAGAAGAGGAGCGCCUCUAUUUUAAUUCCUGUGCCAAAAUUCUUAUCACUCGUAUUAAUUUUAGGACCGCUGGAGGAAUACAGGGGAGAACCAUCAAUCUCCUGCUAAUCCCUCAGAUACAUAGCAGCAGCUAUAAGCUUUAUAUAGGUGUUUUUGGAACAUGGGUGCUCUUUCAUAAUUCUGGUGCAGGAAUCAGGUAACAUUAUAAAGCAGUGCUCCAUUUUUAGGGACUUUUUUUUUUUUUGAGCUACAACUGCAUUUGGAACUUUUUUAACAUAAGAGAAGCUGUGAGGCAAGUAGGUGUACUGUGAUUGGUCCAGGUUUAAGUAUGCCGAUUGAUUAAACACAGAAAAUCAUCUUUAAAAACUAAUAACAUUAGUAAAACCAGGGAAGUUCUAAUAGUAGAAACUCCCUUUCUCUGGCUGUGAUACCUCCACCUCUUCAGCCUCUCCUCCAACCUGCCACCUACUCUCACUGCAGAUUGUGGCAGCAGACCACACACCUGUCUCAUUGUCCUCAUGCAUGCCCUGCACCUCCUCCUCAGACUCUUCUGCAGCUCCACAGUUGCUCUCUUGACACUUGAUCAUAUGUUUUUUUCUACAUGCAUUAGGACACCGUGCAGCACUUUCUCCUUCGCUGUACUUGUCCACACUCUCAAAGCGAACAUCACAGCUGUUUUGCUCUUUCUCAGCACGUAUUUCUUACUAGCUUCAAAAGCUCCUCUCCAUAUCUUCAUGUUAUGGUCAAAUCUGCUAAUGUGGUGUACGCUGGAAUAUGGAUGUGUUGAAUAUUUAGUACUCUGUAUGGCAGUAUAGUUAUGGCUUUAAAAUCAGUUUCCUCACAGUUUAUCUUUUGUUUUAUACAAUACUUUUAUUUACAGAAGCACACAACCAUACACCUUUUCUUAAACGAUCAGCCCUGACCUCUCCUAUGUCAAAGACGUGGAAACCUUAAAGACAUCCAGGGGGAAAUAGGAAGAGCACUCCUAAACUUUGUGGAAACCCUUCACACAACUGUUGAAGCUGUUACGGCUGUAAAGAGUUAAACCCUAUGGAUUAACCUCCUGAGACCCGAACUCUUCCACAGCAGCAUUUUUAAUUUCUCUUUGAUAUUUGGGCUGAUUGGGACCUGAUGAACGUAAAAACAAAGAAGUACCAGAUUUUUUUUUUUUUACAUAAUUUUUGUUCGUAAGGAAAAUGAGAGCCACAUAUGAGGAUAUUCUUUUAAAAUUUUGAUAGAACAGUUGCAAUAUAAUGUCCUGGUAAGUGGAUAUCAGGCCAUUGUAGAGCAAGAUUUAGUAUUUUGGUCUAAAUAACCCAAAAUGUGACGUCCACAC